rnacentral:piRNA from 1 species
UACCAUAACCUGGAAGAGGUUAGUGAUG